rnacentral:rRNA from 1 species
GCCUAGCCAUAAACUUUGAUUAUCCGCCAGAGUACUACGAGCUACAGCUUAAAACUCAAAGGACUUGGCGGUGCUUUACACCCCCCUAGAGGAGCCUGUUCUAUAAUCGAUAAUCCCCGAUAAACCUCACCACCUUUUGCCAAUACAGCCUAUAUACCACCGUCCAGCCAGCCCUUUAAAGGAUAAACAGCAGGCAUAAUUAUAAACAUUAAAACGUCAGGUCAAGGUGUAGCAGAUAAGAUGGAAAGAAAUGGGCUACAUUUUCUAACUUAGAAAACACGGAUGAUUCUAUGAAAUAGGAUCUGAAGGAGGAUUUAGUAGUAAAAAGGAAUAAGAGUGUUCUUUUUAAAACGGCAAUAAAGCGCGC